CACGCCGUAAACGAUGAGUACUAGGUGUAGGGGGUAUCGACCCCCCCUGUGCCGCAGUAAACACAAUAAGUACUCCGCCUGGGAAGUACGAUCGCAAGAUUAAAACUCAAAGGAAUUGACGGGGGCCCGCACAAGCGGUGGAGUAUGUGGUUUAAUUCGACGCAACGCGAAGAACCUUACCAAGGCUUGACAUUGAGUGAAAGGCUAAGAGAUUAGCCCCUCUCUUCGGAGACACGAAAACAGGUGG
rnacentral:rRNA from 1 species